AUCACCCUGUAGAAACCCCCAUCCAAAUCACCACCUCUUUUCGAAACCAUAACAUAAAACACCUUAGAAGCUUCAUCAAACUGAUUCUUCUUCAGAAGUGUUUCCAUAAUCUUUUUACCAGCUUCGAUAUCAACAUCAAAUCCUUCAUCCAUCAUCAAAUUCCAAAGCUUAGCAGCUUCAAUCAAAUCACCAACAUCACAAAACCCUUGUAUCAUCGUCCUAUAAGUAAUCUCAUCAGGUUUAAUAAACUCCUUCAGCUUAAUAAAAACAAACUUAGCUUCUUCAACAAGCUUCUCCUUACACAGAGUCUCCACUCCUCUAUUCAUCGUUUCCACAUUAUACAAAUACCCAAAACCGUUCAUCAAAUGGAAAUAGUUUACACAUUUCUUCAACUCUCUAGCAGAAGCAAGUGUUUUCAACACAAUCCGAAAUGUCUUAUCGUUAACCAAUCCACGUUUUCCGAUCUCUUGAGCUAAUUCCCAGAAAAGAUCCAUGUUUCUUGAGUUCCCGAUGAUUGCUAGCAUCUUAUUAGAGGUAGUGGAAGUGUGGGUGAAAUCAGGGUGGUGAGUUUGAGAAUAGAGGAAGAAACGGUGUACAGGACGCCACGAGAGUGGGAAAUUGUUGCAGACUUGGAGGAAGAACUCGUGAGUUAGUUGAAAUUUGGUGGAGGAGAGUUUAGAGACG